UGUCUGCCUUAUCAGCUUUCGAUUGUAGGCUAUGCGCCUACAAUGGCUAUAACGGUAACGGGGAAGUCAGGGUUCGGAUUCCGGAGAGGGAGGCCUGAGAAACGGCUACCACAUCUAAGGAAGGCAGCAGGCACGCAAAUUACCCACUCCCGGCACGGGGAGGUAGUGACGAAAAAUAACGAUGCGAGACUCAUCCGAGGCCUCGCAAUCGGAAUGAGUACACUUUAAAUCCUUUAACGAGGAUCUAUUGGAGGGCAAGUCUGGUGCCAGCAGCCGCGGUAAUUCCAGCUCCAAUAGCGUAUAUUAAAGUUGUUGCGGUUAAAAAGCUCGUAGUUGGAUUUCAGUUCUGGACUGACGGUUCACCGCCCGGUGCACACUGUCACGCUCCGAACNGCCACACAGCCCGCUGGCUC
rnacentral:rRNA from 1 species